rnacentral:rRNA from 1 species
GGCGAACGGGUGAGUAACACGUGGGUGAUCUGCCCUGCACUCUGGGAUAAGCCUGGGAAACUGGGUCUAAUACCGGAUAGGACCAUGCUUUAGUGUGUGUGGUGGAAAGUUUUUCGGUGUAGGAUGAGCCCGCGGCCUAUCAGCUUGUUGGUGGGGUAAUGGCCCACCAAGGCGGCGACGGGUAGCCGGACUGAGAGGUUGGUCGGCCACAUUGGGACUGAGAUACGGCCCAG